rnacentral:rRNA from 1 species
GGGCUUCUCCUUCGGGAGCAGAGUGACAGGUGGUGCAUGGUUGUCGUCAGCUCGUGUCGUGAGAUGUUGGGUUAAGUCCCGCAACGAGCGCAACCCUUGAUCUUAGUUGCCAUCAUUAAGUUGGGCACUCUAAGGUGACUGCCGGUGACAAACCGGAGGAAGGUGGGGAUGACGUCAAAUCAUCAUGCCCCUUAUGACCUGGGCUACACACGUGCUACAAUGGACGGUACAAAGAGCUGCAAGACCGCGAGGUGGAGCUAAUCUCAUAAAACCGUUCUCAGUUCGGAUUGUAGGCUGCAACUCGCCUACAUGAAGCUGGAAUCGCUAGUAAUCGCGGAUCAGCAUGCCGCGGUGAAUACGUUCCCGGGUCUUGUACACACCGA